UCCCUGAGACUUUAAGUCUCCUGAAGGAACGUUGAAGACGACGACGUUGAUAGGCCGGGUGUGUAAGCGCAGCGAUGCGUUGAGCUAACCGGUACUAAUGAACCGUGAGGCUUAACCUUA
rnacentral:rRNA from 1 species